rnacentral:rRNA from 1 species
AUGAUCCUCUCCACCAAGGAUAAAGAUGGGAAGGAAUCGACUGAGCCGAACCCUCUCUACCCCAUCUGGGCGCGAAAGGACCAGCAGGUGCUCAGGUACCUGCUGAACAACCUCACUAAGGAGGUGCUCGUGCAGGUGACCGCAAUCACCACGACGCGCGAGCUCUGGACGGCACUAUCGGGGAUGUUCUCCUCGUAG